rnacentral:rRNA from 1 species
AUACGAGGGGUGCUAGCGUUGUCCGGAUUUACUGGGCGUAAAGGGUACGUAGGCGUUUUAAUAAGUUGUAUGUUAAAUAUCUUAGCUUAACUAAGAAGAUGCAUCCAAAACUGUUAAAAUAGAGUUUGAGAGAGGAACGCAGAAUUCAUGGUGGAGCGGUGACAUGCGUAGAUAUCAUGAGGAAAGUCAAAUGCGAAGGCAGCCUUCUGGCUCAAAACUGACGCUGAGGUACGAAAGCGUGGGGAGCGAAAGGGAUUAGAUACCCCUGUAGUCCUAGCAGUAAACGGUGUGCGUUUGGUGUGGGCGGGUUCGACCCCGUCCGUGCCGAAGCUAACGCGUUAAACGCACCGCCUGGGGAGUACGGCCGCAAGGCUAAAACUCAAAGAAAUUGACGGGGACCCGCACAAGCGGUGGAGUAUGUGGCUUAAUUCGAUGCAACGCGAAGAACCUUACCUAGGCUUGACAUGCUUGUCGUAGUUCUGUGAAAGCAGAUCGUCAGUUCGGCUGGACUUGCACAGGUGC